rnacentral:tRNA from 1 species
GAGCCCGUGACUCAAUGGUUAGAGUGCUGGACUUCUAAUCGACAAUUCGCGGGUUCA